rnacentral:rRNA from 1 species
AGACCCGAAACCCGGUGAUCUAGCCAUGGGCAGGUUGAAGGUUGGGUAACACUAACUGGAGGACCGAACCGACUAAUGUUGAAAAAUUAGCGGAUGACCUGUGGCUGGGGGUGAAAGGCCAAUCAAACCGGGAGAUAGCUGGUUCUCCCCGAAAGCUAUUUAGGUAGCGCCUCGUGAAUUCAUCUCCGGGGGUAGAGCACUGUUUCGGCUAGGGGGCCAUCCCGGCUUACCAACCCGAUGCAAACUGCGAAUACCGGAGAAUGUUAUCACGGGAGACACACGGCGGGUGCUAACGUCCGUCGUGAAGAGGGAAACAACCCAGACCGCCAGCUAAGGUCCCAAAGUCAUGGUUAAGUGGGAAACGAUGUGGGAAGGCCCAGACAGCCAGGAUGUUGGCUUAGAAGCAGCCAUCAUUUAAAGAAAGCGUAAUAGCUCACUGGUCGAGUCGGCCUGCGCGGAAGAUGUAACGGGGCUAAACCAUGCACCGAAGCUGCGGCAGCGACACUGUGUGUUGUUGGGUAGGGGAGCGUUCUGUAAGCCUGUGAAGGUGUGUCGUGAGGCAUGCUGGAGGUAUCAGAAGUGCGAAUGCUGACAUAAGUAACGAUAAAGCGGGUGAAAAGCCCGCUCGCCGGAAGACCAAGGGUUCCUGUCCAACGUUAAUCGGGGCAGGGUGAGUCGACCCCUAAGGCGAGGCCGAAAGGCGUAGUCGAUGGGAAACGGGUUAAUAUUCCCGUACUUGGUGUUACUGCGAAGGGGGGACGGAGAAGGCUAUGUUGGCCGGGCGACGGUUGUCCCGGUUUAAGCGUGUAGGUGUGUGUUCCAGGUAAAUCCGGUUCACUUUAACACUGAGGCGUGACGACGA